rnacentral:rRNA from 1 species
UACGUAGGGGGCUAGCGUUGUCCGGAUUUAUUGGGCGUAAAGAGCGUGUAGGCGGCCAUGUAGGUCCGGUGUGAAAACUCGAGGCUUAACCUCGAGAUGUCAUCGGAAACCAUUUGGCUAGAGUCCGGAAGAGGAGAGUGGAAUUCCUGGUGUAGCGGUGAAAUGCGCAGAUAUCAGGAGGAACACCAAUUGCGAAGGCAGCUCGCUGGGACGUUACUGACGCUGAGAGCGAAGAACGUGGGGAGCAAACAGGAUUAGAACCAG